rnacentral:rRNA from 1 species
CACCGCGGUUAUACGAGGGGCCCAAGUUGACAGCCGCCGGCGUAAAGAGUGGUUAAGACAAGCCCCCAUCUAAAGUCGAACAGUUUUGAAGCUGUCAUACGCCCAUGAGAACAUGAAGCCCGACUACGAAAGUGACUUUAACACCUUCUGACCCCACGAAAGCUAGGGAA